GUUAUAGCACUCUAGUUAGGAUGAGUCUAGGUACUGAUCAGAGCUAUGGACUUACAAUCAAUCUAUUGAAUACCAAACGUGAAAACAAGUCAGGAUGUGAUAAUGUAAAUUUGCAAAAGACUUUACUUGGUCUGUAUCAGCUGUGAAAGAGCCUCAAGAUCAUGAGGACAUCGAUGCUCCCUCAUAGAGGAAAGAGUGUUCCAGCAAAGUUACGUUGGCUCUGUCUGGGAACAGAGGAAGAUGGAAGAUCAUGCAAGAAGAAAAACUACAGAUGUUUAUGUCUCUGGCCUAGCCCACCUCUGGAGCCUGACUUAUACUGGAGGAAGGAUCAUAGGAACCAGAGUGCCAAGGACACCACAAGAAAACUGAAAGAACCAACUAACCUGGGCUAACUCACAGAGACUGAAUCCACAACCAGGUAGUCCACAUGGGACUGACCUAGGCCCUCUGAAUGUGUUUUCCAGUUAUGUAAUGUGAUCUUCUUAUUAACUCAUAACAGGGUGAGCAGUGGCUGUCUCUGACUCUCAUGCCUGCUUUG